rnacentral:rRNA from 1 species
GCAUAUCAAUAAGGCGGGAGGAAAAGAAAACUAACAAGGAUUUCCCCUAGUAACGGCGAAGUGAAGCGGGAUGAGCUCAAAUUUAAAAUCUGGCUGGGUUUACUAGUCCGAAUUGUAGUUUAAAGAAGCGUUUUCGGUGGCAGCCUGGGUAUAAAUCCUUUGGAAUAGGGUAUCAUAGAGGGUGAGAAUCCCGUCUUUGACUCAGUGAAUGCUACUAUGUGAUACGUUUUCAAAGAGUCGAGUUGUUUGGGAAUGCAGCUCAAAAUGGGUGGUAAAUUUCAUCUAAAGCUAAAUAUUGGCGAGAGACCGAUAGCGAACAAGUACCGUGAGGGAAAGAUGAAAAGAACUUUGAAAAGAGAGUUAAACAGUACGUGAAAUUGUUGAAAGGGAAACGUUUGACACCAGUCAUGCGGGUGGAAAAUCAGUCUUUUAGAGUAGGGAGUGGUGGGGGUUCGGACCGCAAGGCUGGCCUUUAUUUCAUCUCUGCUCUAAUGGAUGCACUUUUUCAUUUGCAGGUCAACAUCAGUUUCUUCUGCUGGACAAAACUCCGAGAGAAGGUAGCAGCUUAGGCUGUGUUAUAGCUCUGGAGCGAUACAGUGGAGGGGACUGAGGUUUUCGCAGUGUGUGCUUUCGGGCAAGGUUGAUUGGGUGCUAUGUGAUCGUUCGGUGUACAAUGCAUGCAUUUUGCGCUGUGUCUUUUGCAUACUCGCCUGACUCGACUCUUCCACGCUUAGGAUGUUGACUUAAUGGUUUUAAACGACCCGUCUUGAAACACGGACCAAGGAGUCUAACAUAUAUGCAAGUGUUUGGGUGGCAAACCCAUACGCGUAAUGAAAGUGAACGUAGGUGCGAUCCGCAAGGUGCAGCAUCGACCGAUCUUUGAUAUUUUUGGAUAGAUUUGAGUAAGAGCAUAUAUGCUGGGACCCGAAAAGAUGGUGAACUAUGCCCUGAAUAGGGUGAAAGCCAGAGGAAACUCUGGGUGGAGGCUCGUAGCGAUUCUGAACGUGCAAAUCGAUCGUCAAAUUUGGGUAUAGGGGGCGAAAGACUAUCGACCAAUCUAGUAGCUGCUUCUGCC